CUCCAGUUGAUCGCAUGGUCUUCUGGGAAAGCUUUCGCGGUAUGGGAUGGGGUCGCGUCCUAUCAGCUUGACGGCGGGGUAACGGCCCACCGUGGCUUCGACGGGUAGCCGGCCUGAGAGGGCGACCGGCCACAUUGGGACUGAGAUACGGCCCAGACUCCUACGGGAGGCAGCAGUGGGGAAUAUUGCACAAUGGGCGCGAGCCUGAUGCAGCGACGCCGCGUGAGGGAUGGAGGCCUUCGGGUUGUAAACCUCUUUUAUCGGGGAGCAAGCGAGAGUGAGUUUACCCGUUGAAUAAGCACCGGCUAACUACGUGCCAGCAGCCGCGGUAAUACGUAGGGUGCAAGCGUUAUCCGGAAUUAUUGGGCGUAAAGGGCUCGUAGGCGGUUCGUCGCGUCCGGUGUGAAAGUCCAUCGCUUAACGGUGGAUCCGCGCCGGGUACGGGCGGG
rnacentral:rRNA from 1 species